rnacentral:tRNA from 1 species
GGAUAUGUUGUACAGUGGCCGUACAGUUUGAUUGCAAAUCUUAUUUAAGAGGUUCGAUUCCUCCACAUCCCUA